rnacentral:rRNA from 1 species
UUGGAGGGCAAGUCUGGUGCCAGCAGCCGCGGUAAUUCCAGCUCCAAUAGCGUAUAUUAAAGUUGUUGCAGUUAAAAAGCUCGUAGUUGAAUUUCGGGGUUAGUAGGUUGGUCAUGCCUCUGGUAUGUACUGGUCUCACUGAUUCCUCCUUCCUGAUGAAUCUUAAUGCCAUUAAUUUGGUGUUUUGGGGAAUUUGGACUGUUACUUUGAAAAAAUUAGAGUGUUUAAAGCAAGCUAACGCUUGAAUACAUUAGCAUGGAAUAAUGAAAUAGGACGUUCGAUCCUAUUUUGUUGGUUACUAGGAUUGACGUAAUGAUUAAUAGGGAUAGUUGGGGGCAUUAGUAUUCAAUUGUCAGAGGUGAAAUUCUUGGAUUUAUUGAAGACUAACUACUGCGAAAGCAUUUGCCAAGGAUGUUUUCAUUAAUCAAGAACGAAAGUUAGGGGAUCGAAGACGAUCAGAUACCGUCGUAGUCUUAACCAUAAACCAUGCCGACUAGGGAUCGGAUGAUGUUAAUUUUUUAAUGACUCAUUCGGCGCCUUACGGGAAACCAAAGUGUUUGGGUUC